CGCUCCACCUCCUCACAGACCUUCACUUCCCACCUCUCUGUCCUAUCUGCACUGAGAGGCUAUGCUUUUUGUAACACUUGCGUCUCUUUCCUUUUCCGACCCUUACUCUGUCACUGGCUGAUGGACAGUGUCUUAUCUCCUUACUCAGGCUUAGGGCUCCUGAAGGUUCAGGAAGCAGGGCUGUUCUGAUGGCGAGUCCCGUCCCAAGUGAGCCUGCAUGGGUGAGGAGGAGCUGGAGGAGACUGUAUUCCUGCAGGAGGGAUGGCGUGAAUGUCACCUGAGGGAGGAACCUGCUCAGCCUGUUGGGGCAUGUUACUGGUUAUUAAUCAACAGAGCUAGAACCCAAACCCCACCUUUCCGACUUCAGCGCCUCGGGACUAAACACUGAAGUCACCCAUGAGGAACAAACACAAUGGAAGAACCCUAAGCUGGCAAUCAGCAUUCAGAGCCUAUUCUCCGCCCCUGGUGUUAAUGAUAUGCAAUCUUCAAGCCUUUGUUUGCAGAUGCUGGAGACAGAAGACAGAGCAAGCUUCAAAUAAGCACCAAUCUGAGGAUGUAGGGAAGGUUCCAAAAGCUGGGGUGUGGGAAAAGUAGAGCAAAGAGAAACACUUGCUGGAAGAGUCUGGAGACCAUCAAGUACGGGCUUCUCAUCAAUAAGGGGACCUUGGGGAUAGAUUCUCUGAAGAGACCAAUCAUUAUAUGGUCAGAGGAACACUGACAAGAAAAUCGCUGUGGUGUAUGACAGCUGGUGCUCAGCUUGUAACCCCUAGCUGAACUGAAUU